rfam:Prunus persica cultivar Lovell chromosome G7, whole genome shotgun sequence.
GGUCAUGCUUUUCCACAGCUUUCUUGAACUUCAAUUCUUUGCUGUCUAAGCUUAUCGCUUUCAAGAUUAGCUAGCGCCAUCGAAGCUCAAGAAAGCUGUGGGAGAACAUGGCAA